UGUGUGUGUGUGUGUGUGUGAGUGUCGUGGAGUUUGUGUUCAUUUGAGUGUGAAGGAGGUUUUUGUACGACGCUUUCACUAGAAUGAAACACUGUGGUUGACUUUUGGUGGAGGAACUAAACUGACGAUCAGAACUGGUCCCGCAGUGAAGCCCUCCGUGUCUCUGCUGCCUCCCUCUUCUCUGCAGAUCUCUGGAGACUCAGCCGCACUGCUCUGUCUGCUCAGCUCUUACUCUCCACAGGGGGCGCAGGUGAGCUGGACGCUGGACGGGUCAGAGGUCACCGAGGGGGUUCAGACCAGCGCAGAGAGCGAGCGGGACGGACGCUACAGCCGCAGCAGCGUCCUGAGCCUCAGCAAAGCACGCUGGGAAGCCGGCGAGCGCUUCGUCUGCAGAGUAACACAUGACGGAGCUGCUCAGGAGAACUCGUUCCUCAAGAGCUCCGAGUGCUGAUGUUUCUCCAGUGAAGAGCAGCAGGAUUCACAGCAGUCUCCUGAUUUACAGCUCAAUACUCAAGCAGUCUUUCAAUGUGCUGCCAUUGCUGUUCAUUCAAUAAAGCUUCUGAACGCCUU